rnacentral:lncRNA from 1 species
UUGUAUCUGCAGAUUUUUUUUCAUUGAAGGAUUAUAAUAACUGACCAAAACCUCAUUUAUAUUCCCAGGUCAGCCAGAUGACUGGUUCUGAGCCUUCACCAGGUGCAAUAUGUGGGAAAAGAGCUCUACCCAGACCCUUCUCCAUCCAGGCUGAGGAAGUGAGCUACAGAUGGAUUCCAAAGGCAUCAAUUCUCAUGGGUCGUUCUUCACUGCGGUAUGCUUUGUUUGUUGAGAAUUGUAUAAACUCCAAACUCCAUAAGCAGGAGAGCAUCCAGGGAUGUUUUUUAUGGUUUCCUACCUUCCACAAGACUUUAAAUGCAAAGAACAAGAGCUGCUUUUUACAUUUUGCUUUCAUGUAUUUGGUGAGCAAAGGCGGCCUUUGCUGUGACUGCGUAACCACUGAAGGUUAAGUGACAAAGUAUUAAAUUUGAUAAUCCUUAGCAGGUAAAAUGACCACAGGCAAGCAAUAAAGUCCAUCUAUUCCCUAGAGUUCUAGUGUGC